rnacentral:tRNA from 1 species
GGAGAGAUGGCUCAGAGGUUAAGAUAACUGACUGCUAUUCUGAAGGUCCUGAGUUCAAUUCCCAGCAACUACA